rnacentral:rRNA from 1 species
UCAUAGGGCCAUACCACCCUGAAUACGCCUGAUCUCAUAUGAUCUCAGAAGCUAAGCCUGGUUAGCUUCGGGUCAGGCCUGGU